CAACACCUAACAGAGAUGUCUGGUGGUCCCCUCUCCUGCUUCUCCAAACAGGGAAUACUCCUACUCUCUAUCCUCCACUAUGACAUCCAAACAGAAAUCCUAAGAGCAACAUUACGAUCCCAGGGACGCGGGUCUCCCCCUCCACCACCACGUCAGGCUUGGGCUGUUCAUCUGAGGACAUAGGAGAGAACAAAAGAGUGUGGUAACAAGUCUCUCCAGUCAUAGCUCCUGGAUCCUCUACAUCAGUCCUAGUAGGAGUGGUUGUGGGUCUGGUUGUUGCUGGUGUUCUACUGGUCAUUCUCCUGGUCCUGCUGUGGAGAUAUCAAAACAGCAAAGGCCCCCUCAGCCCCAGAGCACCAGCCAGGACCCCCAACAGGACCAAGGAUCUACCCAGGGCCAGGCUCCUGAUACUGGGUAUACACAUCAGCAGCAUGGUGAUGCUAACAUCUACGAUACGAUAAAUCCCUCAGACAACAAUGAUAAUGAUGCUGCUGGUGCUUCUGCUGCUGGACCAAGUCAUGUGACUUACAUCCAGAUUCAACUGAACAAGUUGGA